rnacentral:rRNA from 1 species
UACGGGGGGGGCAAGCGUUUGUUCGGAAUUACUGGGCGUAAAGGGUUCGUAGGUGGUUCGCUAAGUCAGACGUGAAAUCCCUCAGCUUAACUGGGGAACUGCGUCUGAUACUGGCGAACUUGAGUGCAGGAGAGGAACGCGGAAUUCCAGGUGUAGCGGUGAAAUGCGCAGAUAUCAGGAAGAAUAUCCGUGGCGAAGGCGGCUCUCUGGGACGGUACUGACGCUGAGACGCGAAAGCGUGGGGAGCGAACAGG